rnacentral:rRNA from 1 species
CCUACGGGUGGCAGCAGUGAGGAAUAUUGGUCAAUGGCCGGAAGGCUGAACCAGCCAUGCCGCGUGAAGGUCAGUGCCCUACGGGCGUUAAACUUCUUUUGUGCGGGAGCAAUAAUGGUCACGUGUGGCCAGACGAGAGUACUGUACGAAUAAGCAUCGGCUAACUACGUGCCAGCAGCCGCGGUAAUACGGGAGAUGCAAGCGGUAUCCGGAUUUAAUGGGGUUAAAGGGUGCGUAGGCUGGGAGGUCAGUCAGCGGUGGAAUGCCCGCGCUCAACGGGGUGAAGUGCCAUUGAUACUGGCUGGCUGGAGUGCGGGUGCGGUAAGAGGAAUGCGUGGUGUAGCGGUGAAAUGCAUAGAUAUCA